rnacentral:rRNA from 1 species
GAUGAACGCUGGCGGCGUGCCUAAUACAUGCAGGUCGAGCGAACGGACGAGAAGCUUGCUUCUCUGAUGUUAGCGGCGGACGGGUGAGUAACACGUGGAUAACCUACCUAUAAGACUGGGAUAACUUCGGGAAACCGGAGCUAAUACCGGAUAAUAUUUUGAACCGCAUGGUUCAAAAGUGAAAGACGGUCUUGCUGUCACUUAUAGAUGGAUCCGCGCUGCAUUAGCUAGUUGGUAAGGUAACGGCUUACCAAGGCAACGAUGCAUAGCCGACCUGAGAGGGUGAUCGGCCACACUGGAACUGAGACACGGUCCGGACUCCUACGGGAGGCAGCAGUAGGGAAUCUUCCGCAAUGGGCGAAAGCCUGACGGAGCAACGCCGCGUGAGUGAUGAAGGUCUUCGGAUCGUAAAACUCUGUUAUUAGGGAAGAACAUAUGUGUAAGUAACUGUGCACAUCUUGACGGUACCUAAUCAGAAAGCCACGGCUAACUACGUG